rnacentral:SRP_RNA from 1 species
CUGUACUAGAUGGGGAGGUAGCGGUGCCCUGUAACCUGCAAUCCGCUAUAGCAGGAUUGAAUUCCAUUAUAGAGGUACAUUUUUUGUAGAGCUGCCUUUAAAAAGUGGUGUUGACGCUUAGGUCCUAUGCAAUGCAAGCUCAUGAACCCCGUCAGAUCCGGAAGGAAGCAGCGGUAAGUGAUCACUUGUAUGUGCCCUAGGAGUGCCUGAGUUGAGCUAACUAUUAGAGUAACGUCUAUGAAGGUGUAUCGAAAGAUGGUGUACAG